ACACAUCUCACUUCACUUAGUGUUUUUGACAACAAAAGCCCAAAAAUUCUUCACCCUAUUUAGUUAUGAGCUACAAGCAUACCAGGAGUCAAAUAAAGUACAUACAAUCUCAAUUUGUUAUACAUAUCCUAUCAACAAACCAACCCAGCUAUGAAGACAGUCUGUCUAUUUCAGGUUGCACAACCUUUGCAACCACAACCAGCCCAUUUAUAUUACGUCGGACACAAUUGAAGCAGACAAAUUAAGGAGGCACACUCAUGAUAAGCCCUUGGAACCAGGAAGGUCAAUCCAUUGCAACUGAAUUUCCACUUCACCACAUUCCACAUUUCUCAGUCUGAGGCACAUGUCUUGGACCACCUUCCCAUCCUUCCAGAGAAUGCAGCUCUCCUCAGCUAGGCAGUUGGCCCUGCUUGGUUGUAUUCUCAUGACGGUCGUGCCACUUGCGACCCCUUCUAAGUUCAUCUUCAAUGCCUCUAUAUAAGGUACGAUGCCAAAUUCUCCAUCUCCC
rnacentral:lncRNA from 1 species